GGUUUUAUAGUCUAUAUAUGAUUUUAAAUUGCAAGUUUAAAGGUAUAAAAAUUUUUUAUUAAAGCUU
rnacentral:tRNA from 1 species